UGUUGAAUUGAUAGAAAAUGUUUUGAAGGAGGAAAAUAUUUCAUCUCCAAUGGAGAAAGUUUUGGUACAAUCUAUUGAGGAAACAUGGAAGGAUUAUGAUGAUGUUGAGGUAAAUGAGUUGGUUCUACAAGUGCAAGCAGCACAACUAGACUGUGCUUAUAAUUUUUUUGAAGAAUUAGGAGGAAGUAGUGAGGAGAAACUAACGUAACCGAAACUAAAAGAACUAUUGAAGCAUCUAAAAUAUUUUUUCCUAAGUCCAUGAAACAGGC
rnacentral:lncRNA from 1 species